UACGUAGGGUGCAAGCGUUAAUCGGAAUUACUGGGCGUAAAGCGUGCGCAGGCGGUUUUGUAAGACAGAUGUGAAAUGCCCGGGCUUAACCUGGGAACUGCAUUUGUGACUGCAAGGCUAGAGUGUGUCAGAGGGGGGUAGAAUUCCACGUGUAGCAGUGAAAUGCGUAGAUAUGUGGAGGAAUACCGAUGGCGAAGGCAGCCCCCUGGGAUAGCACUGACGCUCAUGCACGAAAGCGUGGGGAGCAAACAGG
rnacentral:rRNA from 1 species